rnacentral:rRNA from 1 species
CCUACGGGUUGCAGCAGUGGGGAAUAUUGGACAAUGGGCGCAAGCCUGAUCCAGCCAUGCCGCGUGAGUGAUGAAGGCCUUAGGGUUGUAAAGCUCUUGUGUCCGGGACGAUAAUGACGGUAACCGGAGAAGAAGCCCCGGCUAACUUCGUGCCAGCAGCCGCGGUAAUACGAAGGGGGCUAGCGUUGCUCGGAAUUACUGGGCGUAAAGCGCGCGUAGGCGGAUAGAUAAGUCAGAGGUGAAAUCCCGGGGCUCAACCCCGGAAUUGCCUUUGAUACUGUUUAUCUUGAGUGCAGAAGAGGUAAGUGGAAUUCCGAGUGUAGAGGUGAAAUUCGUAGAUAUUCGGAGGAACACCAGUGGCGAAGGCGGCUUACUGGUCUGCAACUGACGCUGAGGCGCGAAAGCGUGGGGAGCAAACGGGAUUAGAUACCCCCGUAGUC